AGCCGUACAGUUGCUGAUCUAGAAGCAUUAGGCAAGAGUGUCUGAGAACGAUGGUAUGAUCUGCAACACUGUCUUUUUUUAUUACUGAUUUAUUACUGACUAUCUAUUUCUUUCUUUGUUGUUAUUCAACAAGAGAGAACUCCCAUUAAUGGGAAUAAAAAGGAAACCCUGAAAUCAUUUUUUGAGGAUGGAAUGACACGAGUUGGUUCAGAAUUAAUACCAAGAGCUGCAUCAGUUACUGGUUUGGACACCAGUGUCGUAGAAAUAAGAACUGGAUAGGUAAUUACAAAAGAUCACAAAUGACCAAUGCUGCGUCUGAGCCCCGGCCAUCAAAGGCCAAAGUUCACAUUAGAGAGCUGUCGCCUUACAAUCUUUUUUGGAGGGACAUAUUCAAAAACAAAGAUGGAGGCAAUUUGUGCUGUGUCUGCCGCGUCCAUUUUGAUGAUAAGAAGAAUGCAAGAAAGAAGUGGCAUUCAUGGUCUCAGUGCACAGUGUGCCAAUCAUGGUCACACACAGCAUGUGGCUUAAAAAAGAACAUGUGCGUUCACUGCCAGUGUCAAGACACCAUGCAAACACCCUGAAGAUGCAUCUUGUUACUUGUUUGAGUUGUUUUUACUGUGUUGACGGCCCCCAACCCAUCCAUACAAACACGCACACACACAAUACAUACAUAUGCUGCAAAUUCAUUGUAAUGACCAUACUUCAGACGUAAGAAGAAAAUUGUGAUCUUUUUGUUAUUUUCAUUCACCCCAAUUUUUAUUUAUUGUUGUUUGUUGGCACCAUCAAUGUGUUCUCCUUUAUACAGGACUUAUGUGGGGACCAAUAAAGUUAUAUUGUAUUGAA